UACGUAGGGUGCGAGCGUUAUUCGGAAUUACUGGGCGUAAAGCGUGCGUAGGUGGUGAGUUAAGUCUGUCGUGAAAGCCCCGGGCUCAACCUGGGAAUGGCGAUGGAUACUGGCUCGCUAGAGUGCGGUAGAGGAGAGUGGAAUUCCCGGUGUAGCAGUGAAAUGCGUAGAGAUCGGGAGGAACAUCAGUUGCGAAGGCGGCUCUCUGGACCAGCACUGACACUGAGGCACGAAAGCGUGGGGAGCAAACAGG
rnacentral:rRNA from 1 species